UACGUAGGGGGCGAGCGUUGUCCGGAAUAAUUGGGCGUAAAGGGCGCGUAGGCGGCUCUGCAAGUCAGUCGUGGAAGUCCCAUUUUCAAGGUGGGGAGGGCUAUUGAAACUGCGGAGCUUGAGUGCAGGAGAGGUUAUCGGAAUUCCCGGUGUAGCGGUGAAAUGCGUAGAGAUCGGGAGGAACACCAGUGGCGAAGGCGGGUAACUGGACUGCAACUGACGCUGAGGCGCGAAAGUGUGGGAAGCAAACAGGAUUAGAUACCCCCGUAGUCCCUGA
rnacentral:rRNA from 1 species